CAAGUGACCCCGGUCUAACCGCCGGGAUGUUCAUAACCCUUUGUUGUCCGACUCUGUUGCCUCCGGGGCGACCCUGCCUUCGGGCGGGGGCUCCGGGUGGACACUUCAAACUCUUGCGUAACUUUGCAGUCUGAGUAAACUUAAUUAAUAAAUUA
rnacentral:misc_RNA from 1 species